CCUUCUUUGAGCCUGGUGAACUCAAAUCAUGGUCUUUUUACAGAGCUGGUAUUGCCGAGUUUGUAGCCACCUUCUUGUUCCUUUACAUCACCGUCUUGACUGUCAUGGGUGUGUCUCAGUCUAAAACCAAAUGUGCAACCGUUGGUAUUCAAGGCAUUGCUUGGGCUUUUGGUGGCAUGAUCUUUGCUCUUGUUUACUGUACUGCCGGCAUUUCAGGUCACCUUCCCCUUCUUUUUUUUAUCUUGAACUUGUUGAAGAUGAUGAAGAUUAGUGGUAAAAAGAUGUUUAAUAACCAGAUCUGGGUUUGUUUUUCCCUUCUUUGAGCCUGGUGAACUCAAAUCAUGGUCUUUUUACAGAGCUGGUAUUGCCGAGUUUGUAGCCACCUUCUUGUUCCUUUACAUCACCGUCUUGACUGUCAUGGGUGUGUCUCAGUCUAAAACCAAAUGUGCAACCGUUGGUAUUCAAGGCAUUGCUUGGGCUUUUGGUGGCAUGAUCUUUGCUCUUGUUUACUGUACUGCCGGCAUUUCAGGUCACCUUCCCCUUCUUUUUUUUAUCUUGAACUUGUUGAAGAUGAUGAAGAUUAGUGGUAAAAAGAUGUUUAAUAACCAGAUCUGGGUUUGUUUUUCCCUUCUUUGAGCCUGGUGAACUCAAAUCAUGGUCUUUUUACAGAGCUGGUAUUGCCGAGUUUGUAGCCACCUUCUUGUUCCUUUACAUCACCGUCUUGACUGUCAUGGGUGUGUCUCAGUCUAAAACCAAAUGUGCAACCGUUGGUAUUCAAGGCAUUGCUUGGGCUUUUGGUGGCAUGAUCUUUGCUCUUGUUUACUGUACUGCCGGCAUUUCAGGUCACCUUCCCCUUCUUUUUUUUAUCUUGAACUUGUUGAAGAUGAUGAAGAUUAGUGGUAAAAAGAUGUUUAAUAACCAGAUCUGGGUUUGUUUUUC
rnacentral:lncRNA from 1 species